rnacentral:miRNA from 1 species
UUUGCUAUGGUCAUCACUGGAG